rnacentral:lncRNA from 1 species
GGAAAGAAACCUAAGCCUCUUGAUACCCUGUAAAAAUAUAAUUAUUUGCUUUUCAUUGAUAUGAUUUAUGAAUUAUAUACCACUCUUGUUAAAUCUUAUAUGAUACUAAUAAUAGCUAAAUAAUAUUGAUAACUAAUCGAUAUAAUUAACGCAUAAUGAAUAUAAUACAUACAAUGAAAAUAUUUCAAAUAAUACGUAACGUAAU